rnacentral:rRNA from 1 species
GUGUACGGCCAUAUCACCCUGAACGUGCCUGAUCUCAUCUGAUCUCGUAAGCUAAGCAGGAUUGGACCUCGUUAGUACUAGCCAAACACAGUGGCUCACACC